rnacentral:rRNA from 1 species
UACGUAGGGUGCGAGCGUUGUCCGGAAUUACUGGGCGUAAAGAGCUCGUAGGUGGUUUGUCGCGUUGUCCGUGAAAUUCCCUGGCUUAACUGGGAGGGUGCAUUAGAAACUGGAAUGCUAGAGGAUGGGAGAGGUAAGUGGAAUUCCUAGUGUAGCGGUGAAAUGCGUAGAGAUUAGGAAGAACACCAGUGGCGAAGGCGACUUACUGGACUGUAACUGACGCUGAGGCAUGAAAGCGUGGGGAGCAAACAGG